ACAGAGGAAAGGAUGCGAGCACCGGCUGCCAAACCUGCCCGCGGUGCCCAUCCCUGGAAUUCCUUCAGUGCAAGCACCAGGCAAGGCUGUUUCCAGGGAAAAGCGGCCAAGAGUUAACUCCCAGCAAAGUCUGACAGCGCUGAUUCAUCUGUCUGAAAAGCUCCCCCUGCCAAUGCAAAGGAUGCUGACUCCGGCAGCGCUGCGUGAAUCUGUGGUCCGUGAGUCAGCGGAGCUUUUUUUGGGAGAAGUCUGCUGGGAAGAAAGGUUCCCGCGUGGUUGGGAAAACACACGAUGCAGCAACACAAGCACUUUUAGAACUCCACAGCUGAAUUUCCAUCAGCCAAGUGCCAGGAAAAGUCCAUCUAAUGCACCUUUAUCAGCCCUUGCCCUGGAAUGACAGCUGAGAGAUCUCCCCAGGAAAGAAAUACCAACUCUGAAAGGCGUCUAAUCAGUUGGUGCUGGGCCCAGAGAGGAGCUGGACUCAGACACAGGAUCUGCCAGGACUGCAGGAUUUCCCUUGAAGGUCAAAUUAAGCAGCAUUCCUGAAUCAAUACAGCCCAGGGUGCUGGGGAGGAAUAUCAGCUGGGCACUUGUUUCUUCCUAACUAAUGUGUGCAUACACAGAUCUGUGCUUAUCUGUGUGGAGUG